UACGUAGGGCGCAAGCGUUGUCCGGAAUUAUUGGGCGUAAAGAGCUCGUAGGCGGUUUGUCGCGUCUGCUGUGAAAUCCCGAGGCUCAACCUCGGGCUUGCAGUGGGUACGGGCAGACUAGAGUGCGGUAGGGGAGACUGGAAUUCCUGGUGUAGCGGUGGAAUGCGCAGAUAUCAGGAGGAACACCGGUGGCGAAGGCGGGUCUCUGGGCCGAA
rnacentral:rRNA from 1 species